rnacentral:rRNA from 1 species
GACGAACGCUGGCGGUGUGCUUAACACAUGCAAGUCGAGCGGAAAGGCCCUUUCGGGGGUACUCGAGCGGCGAACGGGUGAGUAACACGUGAGUAAUCUGCCCUGGACUCUGGGAUAGCCACCGGAAACGGUGAUUAAUACCGGAUACAACCACUAUCCGCAUGGGUUGGUGGUGGAAAGUUUUUUCGGUCCAGGAUGUGCUCGCGGCCUAUCAGCUUGUUGGUGAGGUAAUGGCUCACCAAGGCUUUGACGGGUAGCCGGCCUGAGAGGGUGACCGGUCACACUGGGACUGAGACACGGCCCAGACUCCUACGGGAGGCAGCAGUGGGGAAUAUUGGACAAUGGGCGGAAGCCUGAUCCAGCAACGCCGCGUGAGGGAUGACGGCCUUCGGGUUGUAAACCUCUUUCAGUACCGACGAAGCGCAAGUGACGGUAGGUACAGAAGAAGGACCGGCCAACUACGUGCCAGCCGCCGCCGUAAAAC